rnacentral:rRNA from 1 species
AGUGAACGCUGGCGGUAGGCCUAACACAUGCAAGUCGAACGGCAGCACAGUAAGAGCUUGCUCUUACGGGUGGCGAGUGGCGGACGGGUGAGGAAUACAUCGGAAUCUACUUUUUCGUGGGGGAUAACGUAGGGAAACUUACGCUAAUACCGCAUACGACCUACGGGUGAAAGCAGGGGAUCUUCGGACCUUGCGCGAUUGAAUGAGCCGAUGUCGGAUUAGCUAGUUGGCGGGGUAAAGGCCCACCAAGGCGACGAUCCGUAGCUGGUCUGAGAGGAUGAUCAGCCACACUGGAACUGAGACACGGUCCAGACUCCUACGGGAGGCAGCAGUGGGGAAUAUUGGACAAUGGGCGCAAGCCUGAUCCGGCCAUACCGCGUGGGUGAAGAAGGCCUUCGGGUUGUAAAGCCCUCUUGUUGGGAAAGAAAAGCAGCAGGUUAAUACCCCGCUGUUCUGACGGUACCCAAAGAAUAAGCACCGGCUAACUUCGUG